CCUUUUGUAGCAUCUCUUUGCCUGAUAAAUACUAAGUGUAUCUACACUAAUGAUGCUUUUGCUUUAUCCAUUGCAGAACUUCGCCAACAUUCACUUGUAAUACUAGUGACAUCAUCUGUAUUUCUGCUGUUAGCUUUCAUAGUUGUAGUUGUGCUGAUGGUCUGUCGCCGUUUAAAGUCUAAUCGACAAAAAAAAAGGUGCAAGUAUUACUUACAGCUCAUAAAAAUAAUCUUGCAAAAAUAUGCUCAAAUGUGCUUGUUACGAAGUUGCUGCGUGCUGGACGGAACGAAACGAGAGACGAGAUAACAAGCAACAAUAUUUAAUAUAAUCUUCAGGUAGCACAAGCAGGAACAGGCAGGAAUAUCCACACACGUAGAAACAAUAAACCAACAAUAAAGACCGACAAGGAACUAAUGACAAAGACAGAUUUAUAAAGGGUGUGCUAAUUACAAAGACAGGUGAACCAGAUGACGCUAACAAGGACUAAACCAAAUCAGACAGAUCGACGGGGGGAGACAAUGGGAGAAACCAAGAAAACAAACAGACAGAACUGUAACAUUACGCCCCCCUCCGAAUAGGCGCGUCCUCGCGUCGUAGAAAACAAAACAAUUAGGAGGAUUAGGAGGCGAAAAAAAAGAACAGAAAAACCAGAGUCCAUGGGGGAGGAGGCUUCGGCGGAGGACGGAACCCCGGAAGGGGGACAAAAACCAGAGUCAACAGAGUCCAAGGGGGCGACGAAGGUGGGAGGAGCCAGGGAGGAAACAGGAGGGACCCGGAGCAGGAGGAACCUAGUAUGACCCAGAACGGAGCCAUGAUGACCCACGGUGGAGCCGAUGGAGGGAGGAGCCAUGGUGGAAGAAGGGCUGACGACUCCAUGGGGCCGACCGACAGAGGCGGAGCAGCUGGCGGAGGAGCCCGAGGCGGAGACGAAGAGCCGAAGAUCCUGGGCGACACCGAGGAUCCGGAGGGCCAAGGCGAAGCCCUAGGCUCUGGCAACCGAGGCGUAGGCGGAGAUCCGGAGGUCCGCGGCGGAGCCGGAGCGACAGAGGAUGGAGGCUGUGCCGGAGGGAGGGAGGAGCCCAACAGAGCCGGUGGGAUGGAGCGACGAGGCAAAGCCGGAGGAGUGGAGUCCCGAGGCGAUGGCGGGACGACGACCGACCAAGGCGGAGCCGGAGGGACGAGGGAGCCCGGUGGAGCUGGUGGACCGACGGGCGACGGUGGAGACGAGGGAGCUGAGAGCCGUGGUGGAGCCGCAGGGUCGGAGGGCCGAGGCGGAGUUCUGGACUCUGAGGCUGGAGGCGGAGCUGAGGGAUCCUCCAGCGUUGACACCGAUGGAAGCUGGCAGACCCGCGGCGAGCCCACUGCACAGGUGGUGGGCUGAGGGUGAGCAGAGGGGCUGUCAGGGGACAGCGGUGGCCAGACAGACAUGGAUGCAGACAGGAUGAUCAUAACAGGUAGAUAAUUCAGUAAAGAAGUCUAUUAAAUCCCCAGAGUCUUGCUCAAGCUCACCCCCAGCGGUGGUGCAGUGGGCAGGGCUCUCCAUAGCCCUCUCUUGCUCCACGCAGCACUCCACCUUCGCGGAAGUAGUGUCCGGCUCUCGCACCUGGUCAGACGUGUCAGGCUCUGGCUCUGUCGCUCUUGGCUCUGGCUCUUCAUCUGCGGUGGGCUCGGGCUCAUACUCCGCGUGUCGGGGUGAUGGUUGGCUGGGCUCUGGGUCUUGAGUGGGGCUGACGUCCUUCUCGACGAUGUCGACAGUCCAUGACGAUCCACAGGACGCCAGCACCCACUCGAUGUAAUCGGCGAUGCUCUCUCGAGGACCCUCCCCGGACAGCUGCGCCUUGAUGGUGGUGUUCAGUCCCACACGAUAGAACGUGCACAAGCAGCUGUCCGGGUAGUGUGUGUGUGGCACAAGGUGCACAAAGUCUCUGUUGUGGUCCUCGAGAGAGCGAUUCUCCUGCUCCAGGAUAAUGAUCUUAACGGCGGGAUCCAUGAUAAUAAAUCAGAAACAAAACACCGAGAAAAAGGACGAAAAAUAAACGUAGGGGAAUAACGCCGGGUAAACUGUAGUCGGUCGGUCUUUCUGUUACGAAGUCGCUGCGUGCUGGACGGAACGAGACGAGAGACGAGAUAACAAGCAACAAUAUUUAAUAUAAUCUUCAGGUAGCACAAGCAGGAACAGGCAGGAAUAUCCACACACGUAGAAACAAUAAACCAACAAUAAAGACCGACAAGGAACUAAUGACAAAGACAGAUUUAUAAAGGGUGUGCUAAUUACAAAGACAGGUGAACCAGAUGACGCUAACAAGGACUAAACCAAAUCAGACAGAUCGACGGGGGGAGACAAUGGGAGAAACCAAGAAAACAAACAGACAGAACUGUAACAGUGCUAGCAAUUUGUUAUAAUCAGAUUCAGGUUCAUUUAAUUUCAGAAAUGUGUUACAAUCAAACAGCCCAGACUGAGGAAGAGAUGGAAAAUGCUGAUAUAAAUGUUAGUAAACAGGGAGCUCAGGAUAUGGUAAGAUAUGUUUGUUAUGCUCAGGAUAUUAUACUGUAUAUAAAUUGUAGGAAUCUGAGGUCUUCUGUAAAUAUGCAGGGGAUUGAAAUCUUGAAACACUUUUGAAUGCGCGCUUGCUUUUUACUUUCACUUUCAAGAUUUGUGAUCACAUGUACUCUGUACUCUACGGAGCAGCAGUACUUACCACACAUUUUACAACAUUAGAUGUUCGUCUAUGCCAAUCCAUUUUUUACCUCCACCCCCCAAUUUCUUCGUUUAUCACAUUGUUUCACUGAUAUCCUCUGAUGCCAAUUUGAUAGACAUCACCCAACCCUAUUUAACAUUCAUCAUACACACUUUUAAAGAAAAUGCAGUUAUACUUACGUGAUCAUGAGGCUCCAGUGUUCAUACGAUACUACUGAUGCCUUUACAGUUAUUUAUAUAUUUUUUUACAUAUUUCUCCUUUAUUCACGUUUUCACCAAUGUUCUCUUAUGACUUCCAGACGAGUGUCUCUGUUCCCACAAAAGAAUGAUGGAGAAGAUCAGACAAAGCCAAGAGACAUAGCUGUCUACCCCAUUGCAUAAAGUAUUAACUGUUGACAUUUCUUUGCUUAAGGCCUCACACCGUCCCGAACGACACAGGCCAACACUGACUGAGCAUAGCACAUCAGUUCUAAGAUGUUCCAAGACCAGCAACAAACUUGUCUGUUACUGUUGUCAGUGUCUGUCAGUGCAGUGUGAAAUGGCCAUUAUAAACUAUGAUGAUGACACAAGAUGAAUCACGCAAAGAUGCUUCAUUUUAGCGCAUCUAAAUCAGAAAUUUUCACAUACGCAUAUGGUUGGAACUAAAUUCAGCUCCUGUUUUACGCAGUGGUGGACAAAGUACACAAAUCAAAGACUUGAGUAAAAGUACAGAUACGUACAAUAAAAUAUUACUCAAGUAAAAGUACUUUUCCAAUUUUACUCGAGUAAAAGUUUUUUCCUAAAACAACCGCUAUGGAAUUAAGAUCUGUUUUUUUUUUUUUUUUUUUUUUUUUGGAUAUGGACUACUUUGAUGAGAGUGAUGCAGUAAUGUUUACUGUGAAGCUUACACUGCGAUGUACCUGAUAGAUUUUACCAUCUAAUUUUUUACCAGUAAGAAAAAAAAGUGUUUUAAAGCUUGUAGUUCUGCAACACAUCACAGUUAUAUAUGACAAUAAGGCCUGAAGUUAGGAAGAACAUUUUAAGAAAAAUUUUAUUAUAUUUUCAUAAUGAUGUUUUUUCUUCUCAAACCUUGUCUGUGGUGAAAAAACACCACUGACCAAAUGCCCCCAGAGGGCAUCACUUCCCACUUUAAUACUUACUGUAGUUCACCAUAUGUUCUGGUUGAAUAAAAAUAUUUGGACUUUAUAUCUAAAAAAAAACAGUUAACAUCAGCCUAACGGUAUUUAAUUGUUCUCAGUAUGGUUAUGAAUAAACAUUCAUAUCUUUCUACUCGGCUAGUUGAUCCAAACAAUAUGAAAAUGUAUGCUGUUGAUGAACAAUAUAAAAACAGAUGUAACAUAGGGCUAAAUGCACAGAAUUUUAAUACAACUGCUAACGUUACAGCAGCGGAGAAUAUAAACGUGCAUGAGUUAUUUUAUUUAUUCUAUGUUACUUUAUUAUGACUGUUUUGACCUAAAUAUGACUUUCAGUUACAACAAUUAAACCUAAAAUUAGUAACGUACUCUUUGCAGCAUCAGUCGUGCGCUCACAAGAUUUCUGGUUCUUACUUGUGAAUUCAGUUCACUGGAGACUCACUCCAAAUGGAUCAUUUGAAUCAAGGAGUUGUCGACUCAAAAACAGCUUGGAUCAUUCCAAAUCAUGAACCGUGAAUCGUUUGGUGCGAUUUGCACCAAAAAUUAAUUUCUUUUCUUUUUUUUUAUUUAUUUAUUUGUUUUAUUAGUUAUGUUAGCUUAGGCUAUUAGUAAACAUCCAUGAGCAGCUUUACCUUCCAGUGUUUCUUAACCUUGUUUGUACCUGCCCAGGUGAGACAGCUGAUUCAUUUUAAUAGCAGCUUAAUGUCAUCUCUAGACUAUUGAACUUAAUGGUUUGUUUAGUUUAAAUUGUACUUUAUUUUUAUUUUAUUUAUUUCGACAUAACAAAAAUUAUUGCCAAGCAAAAAUGAUUUGUAUUUUAGAUAGAACAGUGUAGUUUUUAUCAUAUAACCUAAUUACAAAAAACUAGUUAAUGCAAAUGCAAGGGUGUUUCUAAUACAGCAUCUAUGGGAGUGACAGUAAAUUUGACGUCUUUCUCUCCUCUGAUUGCUGUUAUCUGUCUCAAAACACUAUCGCAGAGUUUUGCUAUUUGAGCAACUCGGAAUACAAACAAAUACAGUCAAACCAAACUAUUCAGACACCAGAUAUGCCCAGGUUUCAGUAUUGCAUCUUUAAUGUUUCCAUGUUGAAGUUAGUUUAUGGAUACCAGAGGGCACUUCUGAGAAAUUGAAGGACCUUAUGACCUUAAGAUGUAUUAAUUCAGAUCAGUGAUUGUUUCAUGAUGUGAUAUUAUACUGAUUGGCUGCCACCUUUUUAGCUUCUCUAGUUUGUUCAUUUGUAUU